UACGUAGGUGGCUAGCGUUGUCCGGAAUUACUGGGCGUAAAGGGCGUGUAGGCGGGGUGGCAAGUCAGAUGUGAAAUUCCGGGGCUCAACUCCGGCGCUGCAUCUGAAACUGCUGCUCUUGAGUGCUGGAGAGGAAAGCGGAAUUCCCAGUGUAGCGGUGAAAUGCGUAGAGAUUGGGAGGAACACCAGUGGCGAAGGCGGCUUUCUGGACAGCAACUGACGCUGAGGCGCGAAAGCGUGGGGAGCAAACAGG
rnacentral:rRNA from 1 species